rnacentral:piRNA from 1 species
UGAAUCUAAGGAUGCCCUCAACGAUUC